ensembl:lncRNA
GCUUGAUGUUUUGUAAACAGAGACUAUGUAGACAACAUACCUGAUUAUAUGAUUGUGUAAUGGUACUAGUUAGCAGACUAUUCGGUCAAUGUCUCCACUCAGGUAAUAUUCCAGUUAGUCAUCAGGUUACACAUUGACAAAGCCACCUCCUGUUGAAACACACAGACACACGUGUUUGGGGAGGUAAACCAGUCUGGCAUGGUAAACAGUACUGAGGUGUCUGUAGAUGAUUGAUGACUGUGCUAUGUGUGUGUGUGUUGACUUUAAACAUGCCCUUUGCCCCCUCUGAGCAGGCCUGCUGCCUGAACUGUGAAUGGAUUAUAGUCUGUUCAUGCUUUCACCAAGCUCAGUCGUGACAGAUCAAGUCCACAUGGCAACUAUUAUUUUUACAGUGCACUAGUUUGGACCAGGAACCAGGGGACACAAGUUAGGACCAGGAACCAGGGGAGCACCAGUUUGGACCAGAAAUCAGGGGGCACCAGUUUGGACCAGGGACCACGGGGGAACCGGUAUGGACCAGGGAUAAUAGGGCACCAGUUUGGACCAGGGACCAGAGGGGCAUAAGAUUGGACCAGGGGGCACCAUUUUGGACCAGGGGGUCACCAGUCUGGACAAGGGACUAGAUGGGCAUCGGAUUGGACCAGGGGGCACCAUUUUGGACCAGGGGGUCACCAGUCUGGACAAGGGACUAGAUGGGCAUCGGUUUGGACCAGGGGGCACCAUUUUGGACCAGGGGGUCACCAGUCUGGACAAGGGACUAGAUGGCCACCAGUUUGGACCAAGGGGAUCAGUACACAACCAACAGCUUAAAAAACAAACAGCUACACUAAAUGUCAAACACAGCUUCAGUAAACACAAAGAAAAUCAAUAAACAACAAACACAGCUUUCCUAAACAGCAAACAUAGCUUCUGUAAACAACAAACAUCUUCAGUAAAAAUUUUACACAGUUUUUGUAAACAAUCAACAUGGUUUAUAAACAAAUAGCAAACACAGUUUCAAUAAACCACAAACAGCUUCAUUAUACAACAUACACAGCUUCAAUAUUAAACAAACACAGCUUCAAUAUUAAACAAAUACAGCUUCAGUAAACAAUGAACAAAGCUUGGGUAAACAACAAACACAGUUUUGCUAAACAACAAAUACAGCUUUAAUAAACUUUAAACAUCUUCAUCAUACAACAUACAACUCAUUGCACCACAACGAUAAGGCAGAAAUGUAAACACCCUUGACGAAAGAGGACAUUAGAUGCAUUUCAUGCAUUUACCUUUUUUCCAUCAGCUGACCCUUCUUAUUGAUAAUUGGGAUCGGCUGGUUUGUAUUUGUCAAGAACAACCCAGUCCAAGGGAUUGGACAGAACCGUUUUUUUUGCUCACUUCCCUUUCUUGCUUUAAUGCUCUGUAUUUGCAGUGAAAACUUAAAAAACUGCAUAAGGAUUAUUUAUUCUUUUGUUUCCAGAAAAAAUGUGUAUUGCCUAUUAAACUGGAAACAUGGACAAGAUUAUUCUGGACCUUCUCACAGCUUGUUGCCAGCAGCAUACACACGCUGGAUCUGAAUUUGAUCAUUCUGUUGUUAAAUAGGAAUUUCAGACCUGUUGUGUAUUCAGAGUUUAAAUAGAUUUCUAGACUUCUAAAUGUUGACUCAUGUGGACUCAAUCUAGCUCUACCAAAUAUUUCAAACUAUUUUCAAGGUAUUUCAAAAUAUCCAUUAGUUCCCUUAACAAUUGCCCUUUCUUGUUGCUGUAACAUUGUUUUCCUACUUGUUCAACCUUUGAACUGGCUAAUCAUUGAUUAAACAUUGAACUUUGUAAUCAUU